AAAACAGCCCUACGGGAGGCAGCAGUGGGGAAUUUUGGACAAUGGGCGCAAGCCUGAUCCAGCCAUUCCGCGUGCAGGAUGAAGGCCCUCGGGUUGUAAACUGCUUUUGUACGGAACGAAACGGCAUCCUCUAAUACAGGGUGCUAAUGACGGUACCGUAAGAAUAAGCACCGGCUAACUACGUGCCAGCAGCCGCGGUAAUACGUAGGGUGCAAGCGUUAAUCGGAAUUACUGGGCGUAAAGCGUGCGCAGGCGGUAAUGCAAGACAGAUGUGAAAUCCCCGGGCUCAACCUGGGAACUGCAUUUGUGACUGCAUUGCUGGAGUGCGGCAGAGGGGGAU
rnacentral:rRNA from 1 species